rnacentral:rRNA from 1 species
AAAUAGAUACCCGGGUAGUCCACGCCGUAAACGAUGUCGACUUGGAGGUUGUGCCCUUGAGGCGUGGCUUCCGAAGCUAACGCGUUAAGUCGACCGCCUGGGGAGUACGGCCGCAAGGUUAAAACUCAAAUGAAUUGACGGGGGCCCGCACAAGCGGUGGAGCAUGUGGUUUAAUUCGAUGCAACGCGAAGAACCUUACCUACUCUUGACAUCCAGAGAACUUGGCAGAGAUGCUUUGGUGCCUUCGGGAACUCUGAGACAGGUGCUGCAUGGCUGUCGUCAGCUCGUGUUGUGAAAUGUUGGGUUAAGUCCCGCAACGAGCGCAACCCUUAUCCUUUGUUGCCAGCGGUCCGGCCGGGAACUCAAAGGAGACUGCCAGUGAUAAACUGGAGGAAGGUGGGGAUGACGUCAAGUCAUCAUGGCCCUUACGAGUAGGGCUACACACGUGCUACAAUGGCGCAUACAAAGAGAAGCGACCUCGCGAGAGCAAGCGGACCUCAUAAAGUGCGUCGUAGUCCGGA